UACGGAGGGUGCAAGCGUUAUCCGGAUUCACUGGGUUUAAAGGGUGCGUAGGCGGGCAUGUAAGUCAGUGGUGAAAUCUCCGGGCUUAACCCGGAAACUGCCGUUGAUACUAUCUGUCUUGAAUAUCGUGGAGGUAAGCGGAAUAUGUCAUGUAGCGGUGAAAUGCUUAGAUAUGACAUAGAACACCCAUUGCGAAGGCAGCUUACUACACGAUCAUUGACGCUGAGGCACGAAAGCGUGGGGAGCAAACAGG
rnacentral:rRNA from 1 species